rnacentral:rRNA from 1 species
AGAGUUUGAUCUGGCUCAGAUUGAACGCUGGCGGCAGGCCUAACACAUGCAAGUCGAGCGGAAACGACACUAACRAUCCUUCGGGUGAGUUAAUGGGCGUCGAGCGGCGGACGGGUGAGUAAUGCCUAGGAAAUUGCCUUGAUGUGGGGGAUAACCAUUGGAAACGAUGGCUAAUACCGCAUAAUGCCUACGGGCCAAAGAGGGGGACCUUCGGGCCUCUCGCGUCAAGAUAUGCCUAGGUGGGAUUAGCUAGUUGGUGAGGUAAUGGCUCACCAAGGCGACGAUCCCUAGCUGGUCUGAGAGGAUGAUCAGCCACACUGGAACUGAGACACGGUCCAGACUCCUACGGGAGGCAGCAGUGGGGAAUAUUGCACAAUGGGCGAAAGCCUGAUGCAGCCAUGCCGCGUGUAUGAAGAAGGCCUUCGGGUUGUAAAGUACUUUCAGUUGUGAGGAAGGGGGUAACGUUAAUAGCGUUAUCUCUUGACGUUAGCAACAGAAGAAGC